rnacentral:rRNA from 1 species
CUACGGGUCGCAGCAGUGAGGAAUAUUGCACAAUGGGGGGAACCCUGAUGCAGCAACGCCGCGUGGAGGAUGACGCAUUUCGGUGUGUAAACUCCUUUUAUAUGUCAAGAAAAUGACGGUAGCAUAUGAAUAAGCACCGGCUAACUCAGUGCCAGCAGCCGCGGUAAUACGGAGGGUGCAAGCGUUACUCGGAAUCACUGGGCGUAAAGGACGCGUAGGCGGGUUGGAAAGUCAGGUGUGAAAUCCUACAGCUUAACUGUAGAACUGCACUUGAAACUUCUAAUCUAGAGUAUGGGAGGGGGAGAUGGAAUUAGUGGUGUAGGGGUAGAAUCCGUAGAUAUCACUAGGAAUACCUAAAGCGAAGGCGAUCUCCUGGAACAUUACUGACGCUAAGGCGUGAAAGCGUGGGGAGCAAACAGGAUUAGAUACCCCCGUAGUC